CAAUUCUUUUGCAAGGUUUACGUCACCAGUUCCUACAGAUCUACGACACGCGUCAGUGGCGCAAUCGUCACACCAGCCAAAAAAAGCAAUCAUCUAAUUGGUCACGCUAUUGACAUGAACCUCAUUGACCGAACAAGUGGAAAAUUUUGCAACAGUAGAUGUCUUCGAGGCUCUAACAAGCCAUCUGGCGUCACGUGUUUUAUUCGAAAGAUCAGAUCAAACAGUUCACUUAGAUGGGGAGGAGAUUUCGGCAGAUCAGAUCCGGUGCACAUCGACGACGGAACAAACAGGAAAAAUAGCGGUUUGUGGAAUCAACUUUACAAAUCUCUUCAGAAAAACUGUCGUUAAUUUGAAUGAAAGCCAGUUUACAUAAGGCCAAAUUUAGUCCUCAAGAGGACAGGGACUAAAACUGAUAGUAUGGCAGCUUUUUAAUUGAAGGUAUAUAGUUUGAUGAUUUCAUUAAUUUUUUAUCGGUUUAGUAGUUUGUUGUGAUUGCUUUUAUACUUAACAUUGUACUACCUAAGAAAUAAAUCAUUUUAAAAACGUAAUGCAUUGUUGUCCACCAUGUCUUUAUUCC
rnacentral:lncRNA from 1 species